CCGCUUAUCUAGAUGACAAACUAAAUAGUUCAAAAAACCAAUAAGUAUAGGUUUUUCAAUAUAAUUUUUACUGUUAUAGUACUAUCCACUCAAUAUUUAAAUCAUAUUUACUGAGGUCUACAUACUUAUAAUUUUUUAGCACUGCCAUCUACCGCUUAGAUCUAAGAUUGAAUCUAGGAUGAACUUACAAUAAGCCAUAAACAAGCAUUUUAGUUACCUCGCAGUACAAAUCAUAUAUCGUAAUCUAUGUAUAUUCAUAAGUCAUAACAGUUCUGGUUCUCUUUCAGGUUGACUAAGUUGCGUCGUAGUUUCGAUUAUCAAACACAGAUGGCGUUGAUAUCAAUAGCUGCCUUCUUUUUUCUGAUGUGGAAGAAUAUAAUCAUCGGUUGUUCAAUACUCGUAAGUUUACUUUUGACGCCAACGCGCUCACUGUCACACUUUAGUUUGACGUCGAGUAGGUUUUGCCUUUUAUUUGUAAACAAACAAUAAAAGUUAACCUAGUACCAAGUACCCAACACAGAUGGCGUUGUAAUCAAGCUGAGAGUUCAAUUAAGCUACACUUGCGGGUCAAUACUCGUGGGAGAUGACCUGCUGCUGCGGUCACUCUUCGUCGGACUGUCAAACGCGCCAACCGGAGGCCGAGCGGGUGUUGCCGUUGGUCUGCAGCUCAGAGUCGUGGUGGCUAACGGGUUGCCGGUUCCGUGGUGUCUUGCGGAGGUUUGACACGAAUGUGAACUGGAAUU